UUUGGGUUCUCUGAGAAGAUGUUCAUCAGAUAGAGACAGUGGUAAGGCAAAGCAUGGCUGGGUCAUAAGCAAGAGAAAAGGAGAGAGCAGGGACUCACAAUCCCCUUUGAGAGUGUGUGUGCCUCCAGGCAACUAAGACCAGUACCUUUCCCCCUUCAAGAUCUGACAUCAUUCCACUCUGAGGACCAAGCCACCAGCACAUGGCCAUUGAGGAUCCCAGAUAGCAGGGAAAACUCAACAAUUAUGGUUAGCUUCCUCCAACUUCCUCACUGAGAAAAAAUUAGAGCCACCAGUGAUCUUUGCAGGGUUCCAGGAUCACCCGGAGACUGAAAUCAAAUUCUUCAAAACAAGCUGCUACCAGAAACAAAGAAGGAGACUUGUGAACAUGACGAAGGGAAACAUCUGUUCAAUCCUGGACCUUCUGCAUAAGAAAUAUCAUUGAUUCCUUGGUUGCUCCAUGCUUCUUGUCAUAUGUAAAUGGCAGAGAUAACAACCACCAGCAGCAUCCUGAGACCAAGAAGAAGAGCUACAAAGACUGUGGCAGGAGAUGAUGUCUCCAGUACUGCAAAUCAAGGACUAGAGGGAGCCAUUAGAGAAGACACCACCAUGGUGCAUUCCUCAGGGCACUAU